rnacentral:rRNA from 1 species
UACGGGGGGGGUAAGCGUUGUUCGGAAUUACUGGGCGUAAAAGGGCUCGUAGGCGGCCAACUAAGUCAUACGUGAAAUCCCUCAGCUUAACUGGGGAACUGCGUGUGAUACUGGAUGGCUUGGAUUUGGGAGGAGGGAUGCGGAAUUCCAGGUGUAGCGGUGAAAUGCGUAAAUAUCUGGAGGAACACCGGUGGCGAAGGCGGCAUCCUGGACCAAUAUUGACGCUGAGGAGCGAGAGCCAGGGGAGCAAACAGG